CUUGUUUCAAACUUGUCACAACAAACUGGGAACAAGCAGUGCGAACACAACUUGUUGACAGACUUGUAACAACUUGUUUGCAGACUUGUAACAACUUGUGCGUUUUUACGCGUGUAGAGAUAAAAAAUUUCAGGAAUAUCCGGUUUUCUCCGGAUAAAUUUAAGGUUAACCGAUGGAUAGCUAUCCACCCUGCUGUUCGUGCUUCGUACAACGCAUUCUUAUCCAACGAAUAACUAGUUAUCCAUUGGAUAGAAGAUAUAUCCGCUGGAUAGGACCUAUCCACCGGAGAACUUAUCCGCCUUUCGUACAACCGGAGGACCGGCCAGGGUCUUAGCUAGAGGGCCGUUUUGGCCGUGUUAUCGCGGCCAAAAAUGGAAAAAACACGGCUAGAUAAAAUGAACGCGGUUUCAUUAUUUAUAUAAGGCCGUGUAGGUUCAUAAAAUAAGGUGGUGCUACACAAUACUUACAACAGACAGAAUUUCUUCCAAUUUAUGUCGUAAGAAAGUUUGUAAAAUCUACUGUUGUUGUUGAAAUUGGUAAAAGCGAUCCGUGAUGUAUUAAUGUUUUGAUAGAUAAUGGGAACUGUAUGGUGUUAAAAUGGUUUUAAAUACCCCCAAGGGUUGCUGAAACAACCUAAUAUUUUAAUGUCAGUGCGCAAUGAGCGUAUGCUCGCUUUGUAUUUGGUUGCAAAGCGUAGAACAUAACCACAGGCAUUGUCUGUUGUUGGCGAGCAUAAAGCUACGUUUACACGCUGCGAUUUGUCGGGCCGAUUUUGGUAAAUAAUCGAUGCCCUUUCUUCGACAUUUAGCGAUUUAAACGUUCAACUGAAGCUGUCUGCUCUCUCGUCUGUUCAUAUUAUAGUUUUCUGCGUGCGAAAAGUUUUCAACAACUUUACAACGGAAGAAAAAUCGUUGAAUCGUGAGAAAAAUCUGUGGUUUUGUUACAGAUUAUUCUCCCGAUUUUGUGAAUCGCAAGGUGCUGACGCGAGUACUGAUGACAGGUUAUUUACAUACAGCGAGCAAAAUCGGCCCGACAAAUCGCAGCGUGUAAACGUACCUUAACUAGAACCGUGAAUUUGAAAAACAAACUACUCCUGGUUAGGUCUGAAAUUGUACGUAAUCUUUCACUCGGAAUUCCAGUCAACAAAACCCCUUCAACUUGUUUUUUCAGGGAAUGGAAGAAUUGGUUCGUAAAGGGCUUUGUAAGGCAAUCGGAGUUUCCAAUUUUUCCUCAACCAAAGUGAAAGCACUUUUGGAAACAGCCGAGAUUGUUCCUGCCACUAAUCAAGGUGCUGACUUGAUCCUAUUUUAAUAUUAUCGCGGUGUUGGUUUUGUAGUAUAAUACUGGAUCAAUAAAAGAUGACCCUUACUGGACCUCUAUAGGAAGAACAGUUUAGAACUGAUAGAGCUAUCCAGUAUGAAUAAAGUUAGUUUAGUUCAGGUUUCCUCCUGUAGUAACACUGGAUCAAUAAAAGAUGACCCUUACUGGACCUCUAUAGGAAGAACAGUUUAGAACUGAUAGAGCUAUCCAGUAUGAAUAAAGUUAGUUUAGUUCAGGUUUCCUCCUGUAGUAACACUGGAUCAAUAAAAGAUGACCCUUACUGGACCUCUAUAGGAAGAACAGUUUAGAACUGAUAGAGCUAUCCAGUAUGAAUAAAGUUAGUUUAGUUCAGGUUUCCUCCUGUAGUAACACUGGAUCAAUAAAAGAUGACCCUUACUGGACCUCUAUAGGAAGAACAGUUUAGAACUGAUAGAGCUAUCCAGUAUGAAUAAAGUUAGUUUAGUUCAGGUUUCCUCCUGUAGUAACACUGGAUCAAUAAAAGAUGACCCUUACUGGACCUCUAUAGGAAGAACAGUUUAGAACUGAUAGAGCUAUCCAGUAUGAAUAAAGUUAGUUUAGUUCAGGUUUCCUCCUGUAGUAACACUGGAUCAAUAAAAGAUGACCCUUACUGGACCUCUAUAGGAAGAACAGUUUAGAACUGAUAGAGCUAUCCAGUAUGAAUAAAGUUAGUUUAGUUCAGGUUUCCUCCUGUAGUAACACUGGAUCAAUAAAAGAUGACCCUUACUGGACCUCUAUAGGAAGAACAGUUUAGAACUGAUAGAGUUAUCCAGCAUAAAUAAAGUUAGUUUAGUUCAGGUUUCCUCGUGUAGUAACACUGGAUCAAUAUAAGAGAUGAUUCUUACUGGACCUCUAGGAAGAAUAGUUUAGAACUGAUAGAGCUAUCCAGUAUAAAUAAAGUCAGUUUAGUUUAGUUUAGGUUUCCUCCUGUAGUAAACUGGAUCAAUAAGAGAUUAUCCUUACUGCAUGGACCUCUAGGAAGAACAAUUUAGAACUGAUAGAGCUAAUUUAGUUUAGGUUUCCUCCUGUCGCAACAGGACAGCAGAAAACAGAUUAGUAUGGACGAAACCUUAUACUUUUGAUUGCUCAUAUAAAUUAGCGCAAUUUUAACUUCUUUGUUUGUGUUUUUCGUCAGUUGAACUACACCCAUUCUUGCCCCAGCCUGGAUUAAAGAAAUUCUGCGACGAAAAUGGUUUGUUAAUUAACGAUGUUUACAUAAUCUUGAGUGUUUGAUAAGCUUUGCCUCAGGUUAUAUUGCAGUUGAUCAAUAUCAUGGAAGGAUUAUAUAGAAUAUGUAUUUCAAAAACUCAUUAAUAAUUCACGAAGAAAACACAAAGAAAAGUCAUAAGCGCGUGUCGUAUCUUUAUAUGUGAUAACGACUCGAUUUACACAACGUAUUUUUUUGAAAAUUACUUCGCCAAUGACUUACUAGAUCGAUCGUUUUUGAAACAAUUUAAGACAUUCGCAGUGCGUGCUUUUUAUCAGACCUAAAGAUACUCGGCUUUUUCUCGUAUCUUUAUAUCUGAUAAGACACUGCUGCUCAUGUUUUAAAUAGUACAUCAAAGUAUUGAACUGUUCAUUCAUCAUUCGGAAUAUGCAAAAAGUUGUUCAAAGAGCAAUUAGUUUCCGCUCGGUUGUAUCGCUUUAAACAUAGACAAUCCAUGUCUUCUGGAUUGUCUAUGCUUUAAAUUACAAAAUACUGUACAGUGUGUAUAAAAAACCUGAAUCCUUUCAAAUUAGCUGUAACGUAUUGUAGAAAGUUGACAGCUCUAAUUGCUUUGAAUUAAUGGUUGGGUAAGAACACAAGGCCUUGUACUCAUGGGACAAAACUCAAAGAAAUAAAAAUUAGAAAAUAUAACAGAGAUACAGUAUUUAUUUUGUCCCAUGAGUACAAGGCUUUGUAUUCUUACCCCACCAUUAAUUCAAAGCAAUUAGAGCUGUCACAUUACUGCAAUACGUUAUAGCUAAUUUGAAUUUGGAGUGAUGACGCUAAAGUUUAUUCAUAUAGGCAUUAUCAUCACAGCGUUUUCUUCCCUGGGUUCCUCUGACCGGCCCGGAUAUGGCGAAGCUGACCCUCUUCUCAUGGAUGAACCGCUGAUCAAAGAAAUUGCUGCAAAACGUAAUUGUAGCCCGGCGCAGGUUUGUUUACUGAAUCUCAAACGUAGAGGUUGGGUCCGAUGUAGGUGGUACUCUGGAAUGAUAUAAACUGCCGUGGUUUGUGUCUGAACCACCUUGAAGUUCAUGUUAUUCCUUACUGAUCCAGUGUUACUACAGAAGGAAAUUUUAUUUUUACUGAAUAGUUCUAUCAGUUCUAAACUGUUCUUCCUAGAGAUCCAAUAAGGAUCAUCUCUUAUUGAUCCAGUGUUACUACAGGAGAAAACUUAAACUAAUUUUAAUUUUUACUGGAUAGUUCUAUCAGUUCUAAACUGUUUUCCCUAGAGGUCCAGUAAGGAUCAUCUCUUAUUGAUCCAGUGUUACUACAAAAGGAAACCUAAACUAAACUAACUUUAUUUAUGCUGGAUAGCUCUAUCAGUUCUAAACUGUUCUUCCUAGAGGUCCAGUAAGGAUCAUCUCUUAUUGAUCCAGUGUUACUACAGGAGGGAUAAUCAGUUCUAAACUGUUAGAGGUCCAGUAAGGAUCAUCUCUUAUUGAUCCAGUUCUGGAUAGCUCUAUCAGUUCUAAACUGUUCUUCCUAGAGGUCCAGUAAGGAUCAUCUCUUAUUGAUCCAGUGUUACUACAAGAGGAAACCUAAACUAAACUAACUUUAUUUAUGCUGGAUAGCUCUAUCAGUUCUAAACUGUUCUUCCUAGAGGUCCAGUAAGGAUCAUCUCUUAUUGAUCCAGUGUUACUACAGGAAGAAACCUAAACUUUAUCGUUAUGUUGAAUAGCUCUAUCAGUUCUAAACUGUUCUUCCUAGAUCGAGGUCUAUAGUAAGGAUCGUCUCAUAUUGAUCCAGUGUUACUACAGGAGGAAACCUAAACUAAACUAUUUUUAUUUAUACUGGAUAGCUCUAUCAGUUCUAAACUGUUCUUCCUAGAGGUCUAUAGUAAGGAUCGUCUCAUAUUGAUCCAGUGUUACUACAGGAGGAAACCUAAACUAAACUAUUUUUAUUUAUACUGGAUAGCUCUAUCAGUUCUAAACUGUUCUUCCUAGAGGUUCAGUAACGAUCAUCUCUUAUUGAUCCAGUGUUACUACAGGAGGAAACCUAAACUAAACUAACUUUAUUGAUAUUGGAUAGCUCUAUCAGUUCUAAACUGUCCUCCCUAGAGGUCCAGUAAGGAUCAUCUCUUAUUGAUCCAGUGUUACUACAGGAAGAAACCUAAACUUUAUUUAUGUUGAAUAGCUCUAUCAGUUCUAAACUGUUCUCUUUUUCAUAGCGCGCACUUAUCAAUUGUUUAGGUGUUGCUAGCGUGGGGAGUGAAUUACGGUUGUCCUGUUCUACCCAAGUCGGUCAACGAAGGGCGUAUUAAACAAAACCUAGAAACAUACAACGUGAAAUUGGAACAAGAAGACAUGACUGCCUUGGCGAAUAUUGGCAAAAAAUUUAGAUAUUUAAUGAUGAGUGUAUUUUACCUGGAAGGAGACACCCCAGAAAGCUACUGGGAUGGGGAGCAAUGAGGACAAGUUAGGAAACUCGGAACUAGAAUGAAAACGAUAUGAUUUGAGAUGAUUGACAAAUUAUAGAUAGAUAUAAACUUAAUUUAACUGAGAACAGGGCGACACUUAAUUGUGCGAAGUACUAAAGGGCCAUUGAUGCUACAUAACUUUUACCUAAAACUGUCGCAUGCAACUUUCUUACAACUUGAGUUGUACUGUGUAAAUCAAGCACGCAACUUGCCCCCGUUGUCGUACGCGAGUUGUAAGCUUGAUUUACACAGUACAACUCAAGUUGUAAGCAGAUUGCAAGGGGCAGUUUUAGGCACAAGUGGGUGAUGUGAAUCAGCCAUAUUAACAAACGUGUGGCCUUCAAAAGCUUACAUAAAAGUAAUAUAUCUUCAUGAACGUUGUUACAAGAUGAUAACAACUGGUUCCAGAAGUGUCAUGUAGAACUGGGAACAAGCAGUGCGAACACAUCUUGUUGACAAGCUGUAAGAUUUUUACUGAUGUCAGUGAGCUAAACAUCUACUCUCUCGGAAACCUUUUAAUGUAAGCGUAUUAAAUAUGCAUAAAAAAUCGUUACACUGCCCCCAAUUCGAAACAAAUGUUCAUUUCGAGAAGCGACAAGCAAACAGCAUGUGUCAUAUGAUCUCAGAAAUAAUAUAAAUCUGUCCUUUUUAAUGCCUGAAAGAGAAUUUCUCAAGAAAAGCGUUCAUAUACAGCGUAGAGUGUUCAAAUACAGCGUACAGUGCUGAUUUUUUAUCUCGAGAGAAAGCGAUCAAUAUAAAUAUGGAUUAUGGGUCCAAAACUUCGUUUCUGGUUGCUG
rnacentral:lncRNA from 1 species